rnacentral:rRNA from 1 species
UGGGGAAUAUUGCACAAUGGACGAAAGUCUGAUGCAGCAACGCCGCGUGGAGGAUGACACAUUUCGGUGCGUAAACUCCUUUUAUAUAGGAAGAUAAUGACGGUACUAUAUGAAUAAGCACCGGCUAACUCCGUGCCAGCAGCCGCGGUAAUACGGAGGGUGCAAGCGUUACUCGGAAUCACUGGGCGUAAAGAGCGUGUAGGCGGGUAUAUAAGUCAGAAGUGAAAUCCUAUAGCUUAACUAUAGAACUGCUUUUGAAACUGUAUACCUAGAAUGUGGGAGAGGUAGAUGGAAUUUCUGGUGUAGGGGUAAAAUCCGUAGAGAUCAGAAGGAAUACCGAUUGCGAAGGCGAUCUACUGGAACAUUAUUGACGCUGAGACGCGAAAGCGUGGGGAGCAAA